rnacentral:rRNA from 1 species
UCCUGGCUCAGGAUGAAAACGCUGGCGGCGUGCCUAACACAUGCAAGUCGAGCGAAGCACUUUGAUUGGAUUCUUCGGAUGAAGAUGAUUGUGACUGAGCGGCGGACGGGUGAGUAACGCGUGGGCAACCUGCCUUACACAGGGGGAUAACAGUUAGAAAUGACUGCUAAUACCGCAUAAGACCGCGGAACCGCAUGGUUCUGAGGUAAAAACUCCGGUGGUGUAAGAUGGGCCCGCGUCUGAUUAGGUAGUUGGUGAGGUAACGGCUCACCAAGCCGACGAUCAGUAGCCGACCUGAGAGGGUGACCGGCCACAUUGGGACUGAGACACGGCCCAGACUCCUACGGGAGGCAGCAGUGGGGAAUAUUGCACAAUGGGGGAAACCCUGAUGCAGCGACGCCGCGUGAGCGAUGAAGUAUUUCGGUAUGUAAAGCUCUAUCAGCAGGGAAGAAAAUGACGGUACCUGACUAAGAAGCCCCGGGCUAAC